rnacentral:rRNA from 1 species
UACGUAGGGUGCAGCGUUGUCCGGAAUUAUUGGGCGUAAAGAGCUCGUUGGCGGUUUGUUGCGUCGGCUGUGAAAUCCCGAGGCUCAACCUCGGGUCUGCAGUCGAUACGAGCAAACUAGAGUGUUGCAGGGGAGACUGGAAUUCCUGGUGUAGCGGUGAAAUGCGCAGAUAUCAGGAGGAACACCGGUGGCGAAGGCGGGUCUCUGGGCAACAACUGACGCUGAGGAGCGAAAGCGUGGGGAGCGAACAGG